rnacentral:lncRNA from 1 species
AGCGAUGGGGCGUCGCCAAGGUAGGCUGCGCGGCGUCGGGGAUGAUGUCAUAGCCCGUUCUUAAAGGGAACGCUGGCAGAAGAGAGUGGAAUGGGCAGUUUGUGAGCUCCUGAAAUAAUGUGUUUGCCACGCCCCAGCAUCGCCGACCAAGCUCCUUUGAGAGCUGCUUGUGCUGGAGGAGGCAGGCCCUGGAUAUUUCCCCCAAAGGAUUUCUUAGUUUUGCCUAUUUUUGAACUUUAUGCAAGUGAAACCGAGCCAAUGUGUCCUGGAAUUCUUCGGAACCAGACUCUUCUCUUGACAGUGUGGACAAACUUCCGGAUGAUGAUCUGCGUUGUGAGCAGCUUCUGUACUUCCUGCAGAAGAACAUCAUCUUGGUUGCCUUCACGGUGGUGGGGAUCUUUGGGGCCAUAGUGCUGUUGGUGUUCGCGCUGACUUCUUGCAUGAAGAGGAGCCAGCCAUUGCAUCCUCCAGCGAACACGAGUUACACUAUUUUUAUAUUGGAUGAAAAGAGUUGGGGGCGAAAGGCUUAGGAAAGUGUAAAAAAAUUGUAGAAAAACACAAACAGUUGAAGUACAAUUCCUGUGUGGGCCACCCAAACCAGGAUCUGAGACAACGAUUCAAGGAUAUUCUCCAUCCAGACAUCAUGGAGAGGCUACUGAGUCUUUGGCUGUGAGGUGUAUUUAUCUUCUCUUCCCAUUCUUUUUUUUUUUUUUUCUCUUCCCAUUCUUUAAUGGAACAAGAAAGAAUGCUUUAGCAUCUAUGUCUGUGGUGACAUGGCACUAAUGAUCAGUGUAAGAGACUUAGGACAAUUAUUUAAAGACAAACCUGACCAACGAUAAUGGAUUUAUUUAUUUAAUAAAGCACUGAUUUAUGUAUUUCUUUAGUUAUGGAUUGCAGAUGCUAAUUGAAUACCUGAUAUGUAUUGUAGCUAAUAUUGUAAGACUGAGGGCCUUACCAAACACUCCGAGGAGCUGACUAUAGUGAAGCACACCCAGGAAUCCCAGUGGUGCCUUCAGAAUGUAAGACCGAGAGCCUUACCAAACGCUCCAAGGAGCUGACUAG